GUCUCCCGCUUCUGUUGGAUUUGCAUAUCAUACUCUUUGCUCUCUGCUAUUUCACCUACCAAACUUUAACUACACAGACUACUAUUUCACAUAUAUCACUCACGAUGGCUCCAGCAACUGCAGAAUCAAUCAAGCCUAGAGAUAUUUGUGUUGUUGGUGUUGCCCGUACUCCGAUGGGUGGCUUCCUUGGCUCUCUUUCAUCAGUUUCAGCGACUAAACUUGGAUCAAUCGCCAUUGCUGGUGCUAUCAAGAGAGCAAAUAUUGACCCAGCACUUGUAGAAGAAGUUUUCUUCGGAAAUGUCCUCAGUGCAAACUUGGGGCAGGCUCCAGCUAGACAAGCAGCAUUGGGUGCAGGGAUACCCAAUACAGUGAUAUGUACUACCGUCAACAAAGUUUGUGCAUCUGGAAUGAAAGCAACUAUGCUUGCAGCACAAAGUAUACAGUUGGGCAUCAAUGAUUGUUGUUGUUGCUGGUGGAAUGGAAAACAUGUCUAAUGUCCCCAAGUAUUUUGCAGAAGCAAGGAAGGGAUCUCGUCUAGGUCAUGAUAGUCUUGUUGAUGGAAUGCUUAAAGAUGGUUUGACGGAUGUCUACAAUGAUUGUGGUAUGGGAGUUUGUGCUGAAAUAUGUGCUGAGAAUCACAAAAUCACAAGAGAGGAUCAGGAUAACUUCGCAGUUCAAAGUUUUGAACGUGGUAUUGCUGCACAGGAAGCUGGUGCUUUCACAUGGGAGAUUGUGCCGGUUGAGGUCCCUGGUGGAAGAGGAAAACCAUCCACCAUUGUUGAUAAGGAUGAAGGUCCCGGAAAGUUUGAUGGCGCAAAAUUGAGGAAACUCCGACCAAG
rnacentral:misc_RNA from 1 species